rnacentral:lncRNA from 1 species
GUAUGAUUGAGUCACAUGUGACAUCGUGCUGACAGGAUAUGACUUUUCGUUUGCAUCCUAUAGUGUAUUCUUUUUCUUUUUUUAAAAUUUUUAGUUGUAGAUGGACACAUCACCUUUAUUUUAUUUGUUUAUUUUUGUGUGUGUUGAGGAUCAAACCCAGGGCCUCACAAGUACUAGGCAAGUGCUCCUCCACUGAGCUGCAACCCUAGUCCCUACAGUGCAUUCUUACGCAAAGUUUUUGGAAUCAUAAUAUAUAAGAGGCAACUUCUAAAAUUUUUCACAUCUUAGACACAAAUUAGGUCACAGUUUCCUACACUUCUGAAGCAAUUCACCUUAUUAAAAAUUACUUAAUUAGUGUAAAGAGGACAUAUGAUUUGAAUAAUGAGAAUUUAUUGCUUGGAUCAUAUAAUAGUAGGUGCUUUAGAGUGAAGUAAGUUUUCCAAGACUGGGGGAUUUGGAAAAGUACAAGAGGUUGAAGUGUGCAUUUGAGAUGAUCACUUUGCAAAGUCUUUCCCUAGGAUGCGGGAAACCAUUGGUAUGCUGACAUGUUUUGUUACUAUGUGCACAUCACAUUUCUGGAACUCUUCAUAUUUAUGGUAAUAACAUUGUUUCUGGUUAGUUGUACUUUUCAGCUUGUAAUUUCCUUUGGCUAAAUCAUCACUGACCUUCUGAGGACUGGAUCUGCCCCAGAUUCUUGUAGAAUACAGAAGCAAGCCAAGGAGGAAGACAAGACAUAGAGGCAUCAUUUCUGCUAAUUUAAACUUCAAUCUCUUUUGACACAUGAUCUCAUCUGUACUGCAGGAAACCCUAGCAUUUCUGACUAAACAUGUUGAAAGCAGAAAAGUUGCUGUUUUCUCACCUUAUGUAGUUCUCAUGCCCCCCACCCCACCCGUUGUUUCAACAGUGGGCUGAUGUUCCCUAGAAGGUAUGUUUGUGUCUUAAUUCCUGGAAUCUGUGAAUGUUAAUUUUUCUUGGGAAAUGAGUAUUGCAGGUGCAAUUAAAUUAGAGAUCUUGAGAGGAAGAACUGAUCCUGGAUUAUUCUGGUGGAGCCCAAAUGCAAUCACAUGUGUUCUUGUAAGAGAGAAGCGCUGAGGAGAAGACCCAUAGGGAAGAGGAGGAGGCUACGGGACCAGAGACAGACUGGAGCCACGAGGCCACACACCAUGGGAUGUCAAGAGCUACGAGAAGCAUGAAAAAGCAAGAGAACGAUGCUCUCCUAGAGCUUUUACAGGAAGACAGCUCUGUUGACAUCUCGAUCUUGAACUUCUGCCUCCAGAAUUGUGAGAGAAUAGAUUUCUGUUGUUUUAAGCCUCUCAUUUUGUGGUAAUUUGUUAUACAGGAAAGUAGAAUAGCUUUUUCACUUUCCCUUUUAUUUAAUUUCAAUUCUUUUAUUAAUUUUUUUUGUUAAACUUGUUCACUUGUUCUCAUUUUUUUUUAUUAGUACAUUAUAGUUAUAUCUAAUAUCGGGGUCCAUUUUAACAAGAAUAUAAUUAGAAUAUAAAUAGAAUAUAAUUAUACAAGCAUAGAAUAUAAUUUGCUCCAAUUCAAUCUCCAAUACUUUCUUUCCCUUCCUCUCUUCCCUGUUCUCUUUCAUUUAUUCUACCAUCUUUCUUGCACUCAUUCAUAGUUUUUUUUUUAUUUUAAAUUAGAGCAAUAUAUAUGUACAUAAAAGUGAAAUUAAUUGUAGUGUAUUCAUAUAUGUACACAAAAUUGCUUGGUCAGUUUCAUUUCACAUUCCUCCCUUUUCCUUCCCCUCACUCUUCCCCUCAAUUCCCUUCCUCUCUUCCACUGAUCUCAAUUCUUUUAUCCAUUUGUACACUUGUCCCUUUAUGACCUCCAUCUAAAUAAUUUCCAUUUUUCUUUCUCAUUGCUGUGUCAUUGCACAAAGCACAUACAAUAAUCAAUGUAUAUGGCAUGCCUGUUCUUCUACAAAGUUGAUUAAGCUAACUAUCCAUGCUUAGAUUUUAAUGGACAUACAAACCACCUGGGAAUUUUGCUAAAAAUACAGAUUUCUAAAUUCUAUGUUAAUGCUUUUCUGAUUGUAUCAGUCUGGGAUGUUACCUGGGAACCUGAAUUUUUAGCAAGAAAUAGAGUCUUAUGUUGAUGGCUAUUGAUUUAUACUUCAGAAAACAUUAAAGAGAAGCAUGAUUCAUUUUGUCUACUAUCAAAUAUCAGUGUAAAUUACUGGUGUGGGCUUGUUAAUGCAAAGCUCUUUACAACCGGUAAAUCAUGUCUACAGAAUGCUGAACCUCAGGCUUCUAUUUAUGAAAAUAUAAUAAUAUUAAAUGUACCCGAUUAGGUUCUUAACUAACAAUUCAUGGUGUGCAAUUUAAAGAAACCAAGGUGGUUCGUUAACCCUUGUAUGAAAGCCCAGGGGAGCCAGCAUGCCCUUUCCCAGCACAGCUUUUUAUAACCUCUGCCAGUAGAACACAAUAGACAGGGCUGGCUGGGUCCUGCUCUCACACAGUGGGCCUAAUCUGGUCUCAGGGCUAUGUCCACUUACAGGGAGAAUGGCUCUGUCAUUUCCAGCUGUCCUACUUCUCUCCAACUAUUUUGUUUAGGAACUCUAAACACAGCCCAAAGGAAGCUUGCUGUUGAACUCUGCAUUGGAGCUCUCUGGAAGCAGCCCCUGCACACAUCUUUUGGUCUACUCCCAGUCUUUUUCAGAAGGAAGUUUUUUUCAGGUUUUGCUGACUGUAGCCUGAGGCCACCCAGGCAGGAGGGUGUCUAGCUCUCACUCCUUGUUUGGCCAUAAACUCUACUACACUCAGGAUGGAAAGCAGAGACUGAAGAGGGUCAUCAAAUCGCCUAGAGGAGGUCAAUGUCUAUCCCUUAUGGCUAUGAUGGGAAGCAGAGAGGUUUUUUUUUUUCUUUCUUUUUCUUGGAUAAAUGAAAUAAGAAUUCUCUCAUGAAUUAGAAAUUCUGGAUUUGGGAGGUUGUUUCUUAUAAGGACCCCACUGCAUCCCCUCUGUACUCUCUCUGGACAGCCCUAGCAGAUGCUGCCUCCUGUCUUUUCUCAGACAUUUGGUUUGGUUUCUAAGUGAUAUCCUGUCUUUACCUGUUCUUUGAGUGUUUCCUGUGCGGUGCUGAGUCUGCUCCUUCAGGCCCAGGCUUAUGCUUUUCCCGUCAAUAGAGUAAAAACAGCACUUUCUCUAUAAAUGAUUUAGCAUUUUGGCCUCUUAAAAGUUGAACUUUAAAGCUGGGCAUAGUGGUGCAUGCUUAUAAUUCCAGCCACUUGGGAGACUGAAGCAGGAAGAUUGUAUGUUCAAGGAUAGUGUCAGCAAUUUAGCAAGACCAUGUCUUAAAAAA